UUUCAGCAGAAAUUGGGUGAGGAGCCUGUAUUCCUGGAAUAGUAAUUUUUGAUUGAGUGCGAUUUUUUUGCUGCUGGGACCAACCACAGAAAGAUACACAACUCGGUUAAUGGUUGAUUAUGUGUGUUGUGAGUACAGGACCUUUCUGUAUCUUUACCAGAUCUAUUCAAGCAUCCUUGCUUCUACUCUGAAAAUGUUUGGAAUCCUCAUUAGUGAUACAAUACAUUAAGUUUCUGCAACAAAGCUGUAGGGAAAGUGGAUCCUUCUGUAGGGAGCAGACUCUUGAGACUGAUCAGGAACAUGGAUAGAACAUCUGUGGAACAUGCCAGAAAGGAGCAGCAUUAGAUUAUUCAAACCUCAGCUCACAAGCUUUGGCAACACUGUUCUCUGCUGAAUAUUCCCAUUGGCGUCCGUCAUCUGUGCCAGAUUAGUCCUCAGUUUUGAAGCUGAGUUUGAAGUUGGAGGUAACUUGGAAAUGGAUGUGAUAGCA